GAAAUGCGAUAAGUAAUGUGAAUUGCAGAAUUCAGUGAAUCAUCGAAUCUUUGAACGCACAUUGCGCCCGCCAGUAUUCUGGCGGGCAUGCCUGUUCGAGCGUCAUUACAACCCUCAGGCCCCCGGGCCUGGCGUUGGGGAUCGGCGGAAGCCCCCUGCGGGCACAACGCCGUCCCCCAAAUACAGUGGCGGUCCCGCCGCAGCUUCCAUUGCGUAGUAGCUAACACCUCGCAACUGGAGAGCGGCGCGGCCACGCCGUAAAACACCCAACUUCUGAAUGUUGACCUCGAAUCAGAUAGGAAUACCCGCUGAACUUAAGC
rnacentral:misc_RNA from 1 species